AGUGAACGCUGGCGGUAGGCCUAACACAUGCAAGUCGAACGGCAGCACAGUAAGAGCUUGCUCUUACGGGUGGCGAGUGGCGGACGGGUGAGGAAUGCAUCGGAAUCUACUUUUUCGUGGGGGAUAACGUAGGGAAACUUACGCUAAUACCGCAUACGACCUACGGGUGAAAGCAGGGGAUCUUCGGACCUUGCGCGAUUGAAUGAGCCGAUGUCGGAUUAGCUAGUUGGCGGGGUAAAGGCCCACCAAGGCGACGAUACGUAGCUGGUCUGAGAGGAUGAUCAGCCACACUGGAACUGAGACACGGUCCAGACUCCUACGGGAGGCAGCAGUGGGGAAUAUUGGACAAUGGGCGCAAGCCUGAUCCAGCCAUACCGCGUGAGUGAAGAAGGCCUUCGGGUUGUAAAGCCCUUUUGUUGGGAAAGAAAAGCAGCAUGUUAAUACCCCGCUGUUCUGACGGUACCCAAAGAAUAAGCACCGGCUAACUUCGUG
rnacentral:rRNA from 1 species